rnacentral:sRNA from 2 species
AUAACCUGACUGGGAAGCGGCUGGCUUCCCGUGUAUGAUUGAACCCGCAGGGGAUAUUGCCCUGUGGGUCUAUUUUUAU